rnacentral:tmRNA from 1 species
GGGGCUGAUUCUGGAUUCGACGGGAUUUGCGAAACCCAAGGUGCAUGCCGAGGGGCGGUUGGCCUCGUAAAAAGCCGCAAAAAAAUAGUCGCAAACGACGAAACCUACGCUUUAGCAGCUUAAUAACCUGCUUAGAGCCCUCUCUCCCUAGCCUCCGCUCUUAGGACGGGGAUCAAGAGAGGUCAAACCCAAAAGAGAUCGCGCGGAUGCCCUGCCUGGGGUUGAAGCGUUAAAACGAAUCAGGCUAGUCUGGUAGUGGCGUGUCCGUCCGCAGGUGCCAGGCGAAUGUAAAGACUGACUAAGCAUGUAGUACCGAGGAUGUAGGAAUUUCGGACGCGGGUUCAACUCCCGCC